GGCGUGGCUUCCGGAGCUAACGCGUUAAGUAGACCGCCUGGGGAGUACGGCCGCAAGGUUAAAACUCAAAUGAAUUGACGGGGGCCCGCACAAGCGGUGGAGCAUGUGGUUUAAUUCGAUGCAACGCGAAGAACCUUACCUGGUCUUGACAUCCACAGAAGAAUCCAGAGAUGGAUUUGUGCCUUCGGGAACUGUGAGACAGGUGCUGCAUGGCUGUCGUCAGCUCGUGUUGUGAAAUGUUGGGUUAAGUCCCGCAACGAGCGCAACCCUUAUCCUUUGUUGCCAGCGGUCCGGCCGGGAACUCAAAGGAGACUGCCAGUGAUAAACUGGAGGAAGGUGGGGAUGACGUCAAGUCAUCAUGGCCCUUACGACCAGGGCUACACACGUGCUACAAUGGCGCAUACAAAGAGAAGCGACCUCGCGAGAGCAAGCGGACCUCAUAAAGUGCGUCGUAGUCCGGAUUGGAGUCUGCAACUCGACUCCAUGAAGUCGGAAUCGCUAGUAAUCGUGGAUCAGAAUGCCACGGUGAAUACGUUCCCGGGCCUUGUACACACCGCCCGUCACACCAUGGGAGUGGGUUGCAAAAGAAGUAGGUAGCUUAACCUUCGGGAGGGCGCUUACCACUUUGUGAUUCAUGACUGGGGUGAAGUCGUAACAAGGUAACCGUAGGGGAACCUGC
rnacentral:rRNA from 1 species